rnacentral:rRNA from 1 species
AUGCUACCUGGUUGAUCCUGCCAGUAGUCAUAUGCUUGUCUCAAAAUCCCGCG